ACGUAGGGUGCGAGCGUUUAUCGGAAUUACUGGGCGUAAAGCGUGCGCAGGCGGUUCGUGAUGUCUGAUGUGAAAGCCCCGGGCUUAACCUGGGAAUUGCAUUGGAAACUAGCGGGCUGGAGUGUGGCAGAGGGGGGUGGAAUUCCACGUGUAGCAGUGAAAUGCGUAGAGAUGUGGAGGAACACCGAUGGCGAAGGCAGCCCCCUGGGCUAA
rnacentral:rRNA from 1 species